GAUGAACGCUGGCGGCGUGCCUAAUACAUGCAAGUCGAGCGAACAGACGAGGAGCUUGCUCCUCUGACGUUAGCGGCGGACGGGUGAGUAACACGUGGAUAACCUACCUAUAAGACUGGGUUAACUUCGGGAAACCGGAGCUAAUACCGGAUAAUAUAUUGAACCGCAUGGUUCAAUAGUGAAAGACGGUUUUGCUGUCACUUAUAGAUGGAUCCGCGCCGCAUUAGCUAGUUGGUAAGGUAACGGCUUACCAAGGCAACGAUGCGUAGCCGACCUGAGAGGGUGAUCGGCCACACUGGAACUGAGACACGGUCCAGACUCCUACGGGAGGCAGCAGUAGGUAAUCUUCCGCAAUGGGCGAAAGCCUGACGGAGCAACGCCGCGUGAGUGAUGAAGGUCUUCGGAUCGUAAAACGCUGUUAUUAGGGAAGAACAAAUGUGUAAGUAACUAUGCACGUCUUGACGGUACCUAAGCAGAAAGCCACGGCUAACUACGU
rnacentral:rRNA from 1 species